rnacentral:rRNA from 1 species
GUCUACGGCCAUGGCACCCUGAACAAGCCCGAUGUCUGAUCUCGGAAGCUGAGCAGGGUCGGGCCUGGUUCGUACUUGGAUGGGAGACCACCUAGGAAGACCAGGUGCUGUAGGCG